CGGGUGAGUAAUACAUCGGAACGUGUCUUCUAGUGGGGGAUAACUGCCCGAAAGGGCAGCUAAUACCGCAUGAGACCUGAGGGUGAAAGCGGGGGAUCGCAAGACCUCGCGCUGGAAGAGCGGCCGAUGUCCGAUUAGCUAGUUGGUGAGGUAAAGGCUCACCAAGGCGACGAUCGGUAGCUGGUCUGAGAGGACGACCAGCCACACUGGGGCUGAGACACGGCCCAG
rnacentral:rRNA from 1 species